GCACAAGCGGUGGAGCAUGUGGUUUAAUUCGAUGCAACGCGAAGAACCUUACCUACCCUUGACAUCCUGCGAAUUUGGUAGUGAUACCUUAGUGCCUUCGGGAACGCAGAGACAGGUGCUGCAUGGCUGUCGUCAGCUCGUGUUGUGAAACGUUGGGUUAAGUCCCGUAACGAGCGCAACCCUUGUCCUUAUUUGCCAGCACGUAGUGGUGGGAACUCUAAGGAGACUGCCGGUGACAAACCGGAGGAAGGUGGGGACGACGUCAAGUCAUCAUGGCCCUUACGGGUAGGGCUACACACGUGCUACAAUGGCCGGUACAAAGGGCUGCGAGCUCGCGAGAGUCAGCGAAUCCCUUAAAGCCGGUCUCAGUCCGGAUCGGAGUCUGCAACUCGACUCCGUGAAGUCGGAAUCGCUAGUAAUCGUGAAUCAGAAUGUCACGGUGAAUACGUUCCCGGGC
rnacentral:rRNA from 1 species